UACGUAGGGUGCAAGCGUUAUCCGGAAUUAUUGGGCGUAAAGAGCUCGUAGGCGGUUUGUCGCGUCUGCUGUGAAAACCGGAGGCUCAACCUCCGGCCUGCAGUGGGUACGGGCAAACUAGAGUGCGAUAGGGGAGAUUGGAAUUCCUGGUGUAGCGGUGGAAUGCGCAGAUAUCAGGAGGAACACCGAUGGCGAAGGCAGAUCUCUGGGCCGUAACUGACGCUGAGGAGCGAAAGCGUGGGGAGCGAACAGG
rnacentral:rRNA from 1 species